rnacentral:rRNA from 1 species
UCCUACGGGGGGCAGCAGUGGGGAAUAUUGCACAAUGGGCGAAAGCCUGAUGCAGCGACGCCGCGUGAGGGAUGAAGGCCUUCGGGUUGUAAACCUCUUUCAGCAGGGAAGAAGCGCAAGUGACGGUACCUGCAGAAGAAGCGCCGGCUAACUACGUGCCAGCAGCCGCGGUAAUACGUAGGGCGCAAGCGUUGUCCGGAAUUAUUGGGCGUAAAGAGCUCGUAGGCGGUUUGUCGCGUCUGGUGUGAAAACUCGAGGCUCAACUUCGAGCUUGCAUCGGGUACGGGCAGACUAGAGUGCGGUAGGGGAGACGGGAAUUCCUGGUGUAGCGGUGGAAUGCGCAGAUAUCAGGAGGAACACCGAUGGCGAAGGCAGGUCUCUGGGCCGCAACUGACGCUGAGGAGCGAAAGCAUGGGGAGCGAACAGGAUUAGAUACCCGAGUAGUCUUG